GCUGGCGGCAUGCCUUACACAUGCAAGUCGAACGGCAGCACGGGAGCAAUCCUGGUGGCGAGUGGCGAACGGGUGAGUAAUAUAUCGGAACGUGCCCAGUCGUGGGGGAUAACGUAGAGAAAUUUACGCUAAUACCGCAUACGAUCUAAGGAUGAAAGCGGGGGAUUCGCAAGGACCUCGCGCGAUUGGAGCGGCUGAUAUCAGAUUAGCUUGUUGGUGAGGUAAAAGCUCACCAAGGCGACGAUCUGUAGCUGGUUUGAGAGAACGACCAGCCACACUGGGACUGAGACACGGCCCAGACUCCUACGGGAGGCAGCAGUGGGGAAUUUUGGACAAUGGGCGAAAGCCUGAUCCAGCAAUGCCGCGUGCAGGAAGAAGGCCUUCGGGUUGUAAACUGCUUUUGUACGGAACGAAAAGGUCUGCCCUAAUACGGCGGGCCCAUGACGGUACCGUAAGAAUAAGCACCGGCUAACUACGUGCCAGCAGCCGCGGUAAUACGUAGGGUGCGAGCGUUAAUCGGAAUUACUGGGCGUAAAGCGUGCGCAGGCGGUGAUGCAAGACAGUUGUGAAAUCCCCGGGCUCAACCUGGGAAUUGCA
rnacentral:rRNA from 1 species